GGCCUCCUGCUGACCACAGGCUGUGUUCCUACACCGACUGUGCAGAGAUCGGAGGCAGAGAAACUUCCCCACACACACCUCAGCUCAGGCUCUCUGCCUGGUCUGUGUUGUGAAUGGGGACACACUG
rnacentral:snoRNA from 1 species